GUUUUACCUGGCAAUUCUCAUUUUAGUUACACCGUUAUGGCUAUAAAUAAAUAUAUAUCGAAUUUGGAUAAAUUCGAAGGCAAAUAUCUUCCAGAAAAAAAUUAAAUAUAAUAUUAGAAAUUGAAAAACAUUACAAAGAUAUUGAAGAUAUUUACCAGUCCUUAAUACGUUUAGAUUCUCAUCAAAAUUAUUUUAUUAAUUUGAUUAAUGAUAUUCAAAAUAUUAUUAGCAAUUAUGAGCCCAGAUAUUUACCUAUCAGAAGAUAUGAACAAAAAUCAUUUAUAAAACAAGUGUCACUAAUGUUAAAAUCUACCAAAUCAAUAAAUCAAGACUAAAGUUUUAGCAACUGAAAAUUAUGAAUUAGUAAGUCACUUAAUGAUAUUAAUAUAUCUUAUGAGACCUACUACAAUAUUAAUUGCAAUAUAUUAGUUCAAAUAUUUUUUUUUGUUAAUUAAUCCUAAUUAUUUGUACUCAAAUGACUUUAUUCAGGGCUGAAAACCAGAACUAGAGGUCUGCAUUGGGUGGGUUUUUAGCCCAUCUACCCAUACCCACCCAUCUAAGUGGACAAGCAAGUUAAAUUUUUUAAAAAAUGGUGAGUAUUUGGGUAUGUUGGUUAAAAAAUUUACAACUUUUAUUUAUUAUUUAAAAUCAUUUAAGUAUAUCUUAAAAAAAUGCUACAUGUAAUUUCAACAUUUUUAAUACUAACCGAUAUCUGAGGAUGGGAAAAGAAUCAUCAAUGUGGAUGAAAAUUUGAUUUUACCCUUUUCCCCAAAAGCAAAAAGAAUUCAAUUAAAGGUAUUAAAUUAUAAAUGCAAUGUUUGAAACAUGUCAAAAUUAAACAACAACAGAUGGAAGAUGUGGCUAUUACAGAAGGUUGGGAUAACAUUCAUAUAAAAACUUUACAUAUAAAAAUAAUUGCAACAUUUAUACUAAUCAACCACAUACUCUAUAUAAAUUCUCAAUAAUUGAUAUAAAUAUGAUUAUGCUUAAUAACAUAAAUAUAUUAAAUAUAAAUUAAUUAAUAAUAAUAUGCAUUUUUAAUUAUUAAAAUAAA